rnacentral:sRNA from 1 species
UCACAUCUCUUCAUGUGGCGUUUCACGAU